UAGGGAAUAUUAGUAAUGGGCGAAAGCCUGAACUAGCAACACCGCGUGUGCGAAGAAGGCCUUCGGGUUGUAAAGCACUUUUCGGGAGGAUGAGGAAGGACGGUACUCCCGGAAUAAGUCUCGGUUAACUACGUGCCAGCAGCCGCGGUAAAACGUAGGAGGCAAACGUUAUCCGGAUUUACUGGGCGUAAAGCGCGUGUAGGUGGUUUGGUAAGUAGGGCGUGAAAGCUCCUGGCUCAACUGGGAGAGGUCGUUCUAAACUGCCGAGCGAGAGGAUGGUAGAGGGAAGUGGAAUUCCCGGUGUAGCGGUGGAAUGCGCAGAUAUCCGGAGGAACACCAGUGGCGAAAGCGGCCUCCUGGACCACUCCUGACACUCAGACGCGAAAGC
rnacentral:rRNA from 1 species